rnacentral:misc_RNA from 1 species
CUUUGAACUGAACGGCCUCGACAAACUUGCCCAUGAUUGGCUAAGGUGGGAGUUUCCCCACGACAGCUUGGCAUUACUUGUUAAGGAUCGGUAAGCUGAAAGGGAGGAGGAGGCUAAAUCGCGACGUCGAAGAGAACGGAGCAGCACGCCGGUGGCCAUGUCGGAAGGCGAUUGGUAAAAGGGAGAAAAUUGAUUAGGGCCUGCGAAAGGGUUUAGGGUUUUUGGUGUAAGAAGAAAUGGG